AUGGCUCGGCGGCCGGGAGGAAAUACAGGAGCCGGACGUCGUCGCCAGAACUCCGAGUGGUCGCCUUUCGACCAGAAGAUGCAGCGGCGCAGUGGCGAGAAUCUCGUGGUGCUCUCUGCACCAAGAUCCCCAACCAUUUGCUGCAAAACUUGGGCUCCAAGGACACGCAGAGAGGAUAGAGCAGCAAAAUCCCUUUCCUCCCUCUUCUUCCAGUCCACCUCCAUGGCAGCUCGAGAAGAAGUGGGGAAGAAAGGACUUGAGCUCCAGAUCUGGGACACCCACGAGCUUAUUUGGGGGAGGAACGCCGACGAAAAUCUCCUCUGCCUCUGGCUCCGACCACCGGAGCACCGUGAAGAGGAGCUUCACCGCCGCAAGCAGCUGGUCACAGCUCGCCUGCACCAGCCGCAUGCCUCCCGACGGCAUGACGCCAGUCCUAAAAGCAACCUUACAUCUACUCUGUACAUCAACCCAAGCUCUUCUCCCUACCCUACUCCGGCCGGCCAUGCCGUCGGAGAGGAGAGGGGCCCGAGCCGGGCCUGA
rnacentral:rRNA from 1 species